UAGGGAAUCUUCGGCAAUGGGGGGAACCCUGACCGAGCAACGCCGCGUGAGUGAAGAAGGUUUUCGGAUCGUAAAGCCUUGUUGUUAAGGAAGAACGAGUGUGAGAAUGGAAAGUUCAUACUGUGCCGGUACUUAACCAGAAAGGGACGGCUAACUACGUGCCAGCAGCCGCGGUAAUAUGUAGGUCGCGAGCGUUGUCCGGAUUUAUUGGGCGUAAAGUGGGCGCAGGCGGUUAGAUAAGUCUGAAGUUAAAGGCAGUGGCUCAACCAUUGUAGGCUUUGGAAACUGUUUAACUUGGGUGCAGAAGGGGAGAGUGUAAUUCCAUGGGUAGCGGUGAAUUUCGUGGUACUAUGGAGGAACACCGGUGGCGAAGGCGGCUCUCUGGUCUGUAACUGACGCGGAGGCUCGAAAGCGUGGGGAGCGAACAGG
rnacentral:rRNA from 1 species